rnacentral:rRNA from 1 species
UACGUAGGGUGCAAGCGUUAAUCGGAAUUACUGGGCGUAAAGCGUGCGCAGGCGGUUAUGUAAGACAGGUGUGAAAUCCCCGGGCUUAACCUGGGAAUGGCGAUGGAGACUGCAAGGCUAGAAUCUGGCAGAGGGGGGUAGAAUUCCACGUGUAGCAGUGAAAUGCGUAGAGAUGUGGAGGAACACCGAUGGCGAAGGCAGCCCCCUGGGUCAAGAUUGACGCUCAUGCACGAAAGCGUGGGGAGCAAACAGG